rnacentral:rRNA from 1 species
AUUGAACGCUGGCGGCAUGCUUUACACAUGCAAGUCGAACGGCAGCGCGGGCUUCGGCCUGGCGGCGAGUGGCGAACGGGUGAGUAAUGCAUCGGAACGUGCCCAGUAGUGGGGGAUAGCCCGGCGAAAGCCGGAUUAAUACCGCAUACGACCUGAGGGUGAAAGCGGGGGACCGAAAGGCCUCGCGCUAUUGGAGCGGCCGAUGUCGGAUUAGCUAGUUGGUGGGGUAAAGGCUUACCAAGGCGACGAUCCGUAGCUGGUCUGAGAGGCCGACCAGCCACACUGGGACUGAGACACGGCCCAGACUCCUACGGGAGGCAGCAGUUGGGAAUUUUGGACAAUGGGGGCAACCCUGAUCCAGCCAUGCCGCGUGCGGGAAGAAGGCCUUCGGGUUGUAAACCGCUUUUGUUCGGGAAGAAAUCCUCUGGGCUAAUACCCCGGGGGGAUGACGGUACCGGAAGAAUAAGCACCGGCUAACUACGUG